CAAAUUAAAGCUUAUUAAGAAAAGUUUUUCGUUUACAUUGAAAAGAAAUUGUGCAAAUCAAUAUAAUUUGA
rnacentral:tRNA from 1 species